rnacentral:rRNA from 1 species
UACGAAGGGGGCGAGCGUUGUUCGGAAUCACUGGGCGUAAAGGGCGCGUAGGCGGCCCUCCUUGUCGCGUGUGAAAGCCCCGGGCUCAACCUGGGAACGGCGCGCGAGACGGGGGGGCUGGAGUUCGGGAGAGGAGCGUGGAAUUCCCAGUGUAGAGGUGAAAUUCGUAGAUAUUGGGAAGAACACCGGUGGCGAAGGCGGCUCACUGGCUCAUUUCUGACGCUCAGGCGCGACAGCGUGGGGAUCAAACAGG